AGGCUUUUUUUUUUUUUUUUUUUUUUUUUGAGGUAUAUCAUGUUUAUUUUUUCCUCUGUGAACAGACCACACAUAUCUGAUUCUUUGUAUGCUUUGUAAUUUUUUGUUGAGAACUGGACUUUUUUAUAUAAUGUUGUACUUCUAGGAAUCAGAUUCCCCCUGUUCCCCAGAGAUUGCUGAUGUUGCUCAGAAGGAUAUAGUCAUCUGUCUGUUUAGUGACUUCUCUAAACUAUUUUUGCAAGGACCAUUUUUCCUGUCAUGUGUGAGCACUCACUAAAGUCUCCAUUCUGUUAUCUCAACAGUUGGCUAGCGGCCUAACAGAGAUUCCUUGAAUGCAGGGAUCCAAUAAAGAGAGAGAAAUGAAAAGCAUUCUGUUCUUUUAAUUCCCUGACAAAUGCUGCCCUGAAGCUGCUUCAGCAUAAGACAGUUGCAACAACGACCAGCUCCUGCAAUGCUCCCACUGUAAUCUACAAGCAGGUAGCUGUGGAUAAUUUCUGA
rnacentral:lncRNA from 1 species